rnacentral:ncRNA from 2 species
CUAAUGAUCUCGGGCGACGGUGCCUUCGCGAGGAGGUGAAAAGGGAACGCGGUGCGAUACCGCGGCUGCCCCCGCAACUGUGAGCGGUGAGUUCUGCGCCAUCGGCCACUGGGAGCGAUCCCGGGAAGGCGGCGCCGGACGCCUUGAUCCGCAAGCCAGGAGACCUGCCGUCGUCCGAUCCGCAAU